AUGGAAAGAGCGCUGGAGCUGGAUAAACCUGGAUCAGAGCUGGUGACCUCUUCCAGUUGCUUCCACUUUGCUUUCCUGGUCUACCUCUGUGGUGUCCCAGCCCAGAGGCACCCGGGGUCUCUUUGCUCUGGGGGGAGGGCCUCCCCUCUGACACUGUGUGUUUCUCCUCCACAGUAUGUGGCCUUUGCCUCCCUCUUCUUCAUCCUCGUCUCCAUCACCACCUUCUGCCUGGAGACCCACGAGCGCUUCAACCCCAUCGUGAACAAGACAGAGAUCGAGAACGUUCGGAAUGGCACGCAAGUGCGCUACUACCGGGAAGCGGAGACAGAGGCCUUCCUCACCUACAUCGAGGGCGUCUGCGUGGUCUGGUUCACCUUCGAGUUCCUCAUGCGUGUGGUCUUCUGCCCCAACAAGGUGGAGUUCAUCAAGAACUCGCUCAACAUCAUUGACUUUGUGGCCAUCCUGCCCUUCUACCUGGAGGUGGGCCUGAGCGGCCUGUCCUCUAAGGCGGCGAAGGAUGUGCUGGGCUUCCUGCGUGUCGUCCGCUUCGUGCGUAUCCUGCGCAUCUUCAAGCUGACCCGCCACUUCGUGGGCCUGCGUGUCCUGGGCCACACUCUCCGCGCCAGUACCAAUGAGUUCUUACUGCUCAUCAUCUUCCUGGCUCUGGGCGUCCUGAUUUUCGCCACCAUGAUCUACUAUGCCGAGAGGAUAGGGGCGCAGCCCAAUGACCCCAGUGCCAGUGAGCACACCCACUUUAAGAACAUCCCCAUUGGCUUCUGGUGGGCCGUGGUCACCAUGACGACGCUGGGCUACGGAGACAUGUACCCGCAGACGUGGUCCGGCAUGUUGGUGGGAGCGCUGUGUGCGCUGGCGGGCGUGCUGACCAUCGCCAUGCCCGUGCCCGUCAUUGUGAACAAUUUCGGGAUGUAUUACUCCUUAGCCAUGGCUAAGCAGAAACUACCAAAGAAAAAAAAGAAGCAUAUUCCGCGGCCACCGCAGCUGGGAUCUCCCAAUUAUUGUAAAUCUGUCGUAAACUCUCCACACCACAGUACUCAGAGUGACACAUGCCCGCUGGCCCAGGAAGAAAUUUUAGAAAUUAACAGAGCAGGUAGGAAACCUCUUAGAGGCAUGUCGAUCUGACCUUUCACCUCCGCCCCCUGUAGCGAUGAUUCCAGAUUCAGUCAGACUGCUUCCUUAGUUCCAUGGGUGACCCUGGACCCUGCGCUCAAUCUCGAGGUGUGGAGUCUGGGGGCCCAGGGAGAUGCUGGGCAGCCGAAUUCACGAGGCAAGAGCCUGCUAGAACCUCACUGGUGGCCCCCGGUAAGGAGGUUAACAUGCUGGUCUCGUGGGGUUCUGAAGAGAUGACAUGGCCCGCGAGGUUGCUGAGGACUCUCUUGGCAGGAGCCCCGGGGGCUCUGCUGCUUGGUGGGCAGGAGUGGAGCAUGAGUCGCUGACUCAGGCCACUGACCCAGUGUCGGGGCAGGGCGGGGGCGGGUGUGAUUCGGAAAUGCCAGACAGCUGCUGAUUUGGUCUUCACACGGCUCCCUUCAGGCCGUGCGUGUGUGGCACAGAUGGUGCAUGGGAUCUGGCAGGAGGGUCCCUGCAAAGGCAGCAGCAAGGAUUCUCCCCCCCACCAGAGCCUGUCUCCAUAGCUGAGUAGCAUUCCUGCUCUGAUGCCGGCUGCCUAGCUCCAGGCGCGUCCUGGGAGAUGCCUCUUGCCCUCCGUACGUAACAAGCUUACUUACCCCACAGCAUGCGGAACCAACUCAUCUUCCACCACCACUCUAGAGUUUAGCGUUUAUCUUUAGGAACCUGUUGGAGUGACUCUAGCUUUCACGUUGUCUGUUUGGGUUGAUGGUCAAGUGGGAGUUUCCGGUGGCCUUCUGAUGGGAGCGGCUGGUGAGCGAAGGACUAGAGGGGGCCACCACCCGGCAGCUUAGAUGAAAGCGCUACAGACCAGCAAACAACCUCCCACCCAGAGUUCUCCCCGUUUCCGGCGGUAGGGACUGCAGCAGCAAUACACGACAUCCCAACCAGUGUACGACCACUUUCCCAUGAAUUCAGUGGGGGUCAGGGAGGGGGGGGGGGGGGCCAUGAAACAAUACUAGUCACCGUGGGAUAUAUUCUAAUAUUCCAUGGCUAGUGGUUCGUUAUGGGACUAUCUCAGUUUUAUGAGAACCUGCACAUAGCACAUAAAGUUGAUCAUGGGGCUCUGGUCCGAAGAUAUAAAGCCCAUAGUCUACCUCUACCCAUGGAAUACCAUCGACUUAUUCUGUGGACACAGGGAUUUGAAGGCAAUGAACGACCCAGAGAAGAAUGACAACACCGAGCUAAGAAGGAGUGCCGGGGCGAGGAAGGCUGAGUCAGUGAUAGGUGGCGUUUAGUCUACAGAAGACACCCCUGUGCCCAGGGCAGGCAGGGGGGCUGUAGGCUAGCUCAGCCCUAGAGGAGCAAGUGCCGCCUGGCCCGGGUGGCCUCCCCCAGUGGGUGAUGGACUCUCCCCCGAUGGCCCCCACCCCCAUCCUACUCCUGAUCUGGCUUCAUCCCACAGCUACGCUGCCCAGAGCAGUACCCCCAAGGCCCACUUCUCUGUCCGUGGGAACUUUCCAGCCCCUUCGCCUGGCCCCGUACCCCUCCCCACUCCCUGGGAUUGCUGUAGGCACCUGAGAGGAACGUGGCUAGUGUUCUGGGCUGGGCCAGGGACUGGGCAGGGGUCUCAGAGGCUGGAACAGGGGGACCUGGCAGCGGGGGCGGGCUGGACUCCCCAGCCAAGGUGUGGCUCCUGCUUAGCAAGGCAGGCACGGGCCGAGGAAAGCCCCUGUCCCCCCUCCUGCUCUGGGUUAGCUGUAGCCCUUCUGUUCGACCUCAGGAGCCGCCAUCAUGGCAAGGAAAAUUCCUGGGACCCUAGGGGAGGGUCUGGGUGGGCCUAGCGCCCCAGCUUCACUCCAGGCCCCAGCAGGAAGAGCUCAGCCUGAGUGGCAUCACCAUGGCGCUCCUUGGCCCUCUUUCACACCCUCCCAACGCUGAAUCUUUCGGGAUCGGUGCCUCAAAUAUGGGUGCCCCAGGCCCACCUGUCAAGGAUCCCUCAUUCACUCGUCAGGCGCAAAUUCUUCAGUACUCCCAGACAGUGCCAGUGUUCUCCAUGUGCUGAGGGCGUGCAUGCAUGCACACACAUACAUACAUACAUGCACACACACACCUACACACGCAUGCACGUGCACA